rnacentral:RNase_P_RNA from 1 species
UGAGCCGGCCAGGUGGCCGCGGCCGGGCGUCGACCCGGUCGAGGAAGGUCGGGACUCCACAGGGCAGGGUGCUGGCUAACGGCCAGUCGAGGUGACUCGCAGGAACGUGCCACAGAGAACAGACCGCCGAUGGACGGCCCCGCCGUCACAGGUAAGGGUGAAACGGUGCGGUAAGAGCGCACCAGCGCCCGGGGUGACCCGGGCGGCUCGGUAAACCCCACCCGGAGCAAGGUCGAGUGCGGGACGGCCGGCCCGGCCGAUGUCCCCAGGUAGACCGCACAGAGGGAUGGCCACCCAUCCGGACCCCGGAAACGGGCCGGUGGACAGAAUCCCGCCUACAGGCCGGCUCACCGU